ACGGUUGUUUGCCAAGCGCCAAAAGAAUGUAGAAGAAGAAGCCUAAAAAAACAGGAUGGUGAGAGACAAUGACAGUCUGAAUUGAAAUGGAAAGCGAACAAGCUGUCUACUUUUUUGUUUCUUGUCACCUUGAGUAGGUUUCCCGGAGCAUGCGAAGACCUGUUUUGUCCAUGAAGGAAUAGCCGCGGCUCGGCUCGCUCAUUGCGCGGCGGACUUUGGGGCUUGGCAAGAUCCCCGUUUCCCCGCUUGAGAAUGACGGCGUGCGUCCCUCACAAAGGCUGCAAGGGCACGUCGGUCAUUUGUCGUCCCGGACAACGGCGGUGGGGGUGUCUGUGGGAUGAGCGUCCCGUUGAUGUGACAAGAGGCCACCGGAGAAUCCGGCACGUCACCUUUGGUCGCCACGGUAACAGGGGCCGAGUCGGCCACGGCGGGAGGGCCCUUCGGUGGCCGUGCCGACUUUGAGGACGUUAAUCGGUGCUUGUGGCUGCGCUGUACUGCGGUGAACUUCAUCUGGGGCAGCUCGCACGUGAAACGCGCAUGUUCCUUUUCUCCCUUUGCUUCGCUUUCAGGGUGCAACGUAAACGUUCAGUAUAGGAAUGCUGUUGCAGAGGUGGCAAAAUGAUUCACAGCACAGAUAGUUGUGUCAGAAAAUACGAAUCGCGUCCCAAUUCAACUCCUGCCCUCAAAGGCAAACCAAAACCAGGAUGUCCAAACCUGGUAUUUGAAAUGCGCACGUUAGCCGCAUUAGCUUGCCGUUUGUUUCUGUGCACCAA